AUUGCUUCUCGGCCUUUUGGCUAAGAUCAAGUGUAGUAUCUUAUCAAUUUAAUAAAUGAAAAAUAAUAGCCCUCAAAUUUCUGAGCAUUCAAACAUAA
rnacentral:snRNA from 1 species